GAUAAACGCUGGCGGCGUGCCCAACACAUGCAAGUCGAACGAUCCCGCAAGGGAGAGUGGCGGAAGGGUGAGUAACACGUGGAAUCUACCUCCUCGCAGGGGAACAACCUCUCGAAAGAGAGGCUAAUACCCAAAGGGUCAGAAAUGAUCAGAGUCGAAAGGCGUGAGGAGAGGAGCCCGCGGCCCAUCAGCUAGUUGGUGAGGUAAUGGCUUACCAAGGCUACGACGGGUAGGGGAUCUGAGAGGAUGUCCCCACACUGGAACUGAAACAACGGUCCAGACGCCUACGGGUGGGCAGCAGUGAGGAAU
rnacentral:rRNA from 1 species